AAGUCGUAACAAGGUCUCCGUAGGUGAACCUGCGGAGGGAUCAUUAACACGUUCCAAAACGUUCAGCCAAACUUCGUCAUGUGAACUUAUAUCCUCCCUGAAGUAAGAAAACUAUUGCUGUUGUUGGCAAAUCUCGUGGUGGGUGCAACGUUAGCUUCGGCUACAUUGCACGGUUUGCUCAAUGACUGUGAGGCGCUUCGGUGACCUCAGGGCAUUUCUUAUUUUGGGAUUUUCACUGCCACGGUUUUCUUAACCCCUUUCACUUCGAUUCUGCUGAAGCCUUUUUACGAAGGCCGAUCAGAGUCUAUAAGAAUUGACUAACAAUUUUUGCUGUUGAAAAACAGUGAAACAAUAAAAGAACCAAAGCACAACUCUUAGCAACGGAUAUCUUGGUUCUC
rnacentral:misc_RNA from 1 species